AGUCAGAUAACUCGGUUGGUAGAUCAUGAGUCUCUUAAUCCCAGGGUCAUGGGUUCGAGCCCCACAUUGGGUA